rnacentral:rRNA from 1 species
GGGGGAUAAAUUAAUAAUAAAAAUAAUAAUAAAAAUAAUUUUAAAUUUAAUAUAUAUAUGUAUUUUAAUGGGGGUUAAAGUAUAAAUUAUAGAAAAAAAUUUAAAGUUUUAUAGUGAAUAGUAUUGUAAAAUAAAUAUGAAAUAAAAUAAAAAUAGAAAUUAUUUAAAAGUAAAUUUAAUUUAUUGUAUCUUGUGUAUCAGAGUUUAUUAAUAAAAUUUAUUAAAUAAUAAAAUCUCGAAUUUAAAGGAGAUAAUUAAUUAGAAAAGUUAUUGUGGCAUAAAUAUUUUAAAUAAUUAAUUAGAAAUGAAACGUUAAUCGUCUUUUAAUAUAUCUAGUUUUUUUAGAAAUAAAUUGAAUUUAGAAUUAUUUUUUUUUAAAAGUUAAUAUUAACUUUUAAAAAAAAAUAAUUUAAUAAAUUAAGGGAUAAGCUUUAAUUUAAAUUUUUAUAAUUAAGUUUAUUAAAAUAUUAAAAUUUUUAAAAUUUAUAUUGUUUAUAAAUUAUAAUUUUUUAUAAAAAAUUUUAUAAAAUCAUAAAAUUUAAAAUAAUAAUUUAAAUUUUUAUAAAAAAAUAUUUUAUAAUUUUUUAAAAAUAAAUAUAAUGAUAAAAUUAGUAUAAUUAUAUAAUAUAAAAUAUUAAUAAGGGUUGAUAUUUAAAAAAAAGGAAUUCGGCAAAAAUUUAUAUUCACUUGUUUAUCAAAAACAUGUCUUUUUGGUUAUAAUUUAAAGUCUAAUCUGCCCACUGAUUAAAUUAUUAAAGGGCUGCAGUAUAUUGACUGUACAAAGGUAGCAUAAUCAUUAGUCUUUUAAUUGGAGACUUGUAUGAAUGAUUUGAUGAAAUAUAAACUGUCUCUUUUUUAUAAUUAAAAUUUAAUUUUUUAGUAAAAAAGCUUAAAUAAUUUUAAAAGACGAGAAGACCCUAUAGAGUUUUAUAUUUAAAUAUUUAUUUUUUAUUUUUUAUUAAAUUAUUAAUAAAAAUUUAUUUAAAUAUUUUAUUGGGGUGAUAAAGAAAUUUAAUUAACUUUUUUUUUUUUUUACAUUUAUUUAUGAUAUUUUGAUCCAUAAUUUAUGAUUAAAAGAAAAAAUUACCUUAGGGAUAACAGCGUAAUUUUUUUUUUUAGGGCAAAUAAAAAAAAAAGUUUGCGACCUCGAUGUUGGAUUAAGAUAAAAUUUAAAUGCAGAAGUUUAAAAUUUUUGAUCUGUUCGAUCAUUAAAAUCUUACAUGAUCUGAGUUCAAACCGGUGUAAGCCAGGUUGGUUUCUAUCUUUAAAUAAUUAAAAUAUUUUAGUACGAAAGGAUUAAAUAUUUAAAAUAAAUUUUAUUGGAAUGAAUUUUAUUAAUUAAUUUUAUAUAAUUA